AGGGCGACAUGAUCCAGUAGGCGGUGCUCUACCUGUGCUCUGUGCUCCAGCAUUGUGUCAAUAAUAAGUGGUGCUGUGAAGAGAACAAUUGUCAGACUGAAUGUUGAACAUCAGCUAGUUUCUCCUGCUGAUUUAAACCUUGUUGGACAGAUGGAACAUUGGCUGUGGAUUAUUCUUGCUGCUCUUUUCUUUGAGUGUAAAGGAGACACAGUGAAGCAGCCAGAAGGAGAUGUUGUUGCUGCUGAAGGAGAAACACGGAUUCUGGGAUGUACUUAUGAAACCAGCUAUACAGCACCUACAUUGUUCUGGUACAAGCAAGAAGGAAACAGUUCUCCAAAGUACAUGCUGAAACAGCUGUCAUCAUCCAAAUAUAAAUCUCCAGAUUUCAACAUUAGCAGAUUUGACGCCGACCUCAACAGUAACAAGAAAUCAUUUCAUCUGAAGAUCCAGGAUCUCCAUCUGUCGGACUCUGCUGUGUACUACUGUGCUCUGCAGCCCACAGUGACAGGAAACACCAGAACUCUGAACAAGAACCUGCAGAGUGAAAACAGGACAAUAUUCUACAACCUCCACUAGAGGGCCUCAUGAAUCAGGCUGCAGGAUCAUGAGGUGCAGCUGCUGGAACCAAACUUUAAUCCACUCUGUGAGGCAGCAGCACCUUCACUUGGUGCCUCUACAACAGUUCAAAGUGGGAGAAGUCAGUGGAAACCAGUGGAUCCUCCAGUUAGGAUGAUCAGAGUUAGGAUACCCACUGGUCCCACCAGCAACUAUGCUGGAGAUAAACCUCCAUGUAUUUAGGAGUCUGGUUAUAUCUCACCAUCAGUCUGUCCAUUGUGGCUGAUAAGGUCUUAACUCCACUGAUCCACCUGCUGCAAUAAUUGAUACUAAUGAUCCCACAGCCUGAAGGGUUCUUUACUCUUCCUGCUCUAGAACAACCUGCAGGGAACAUCUGGGAAUGUGUUGGGUCUAAAAUGACUUGAGGAGCUUCAUUAUGAAGAGACCCAAAGUGUCUGGGCCUCUUCUAACCUCUGUUCCUGUGAAUCUGCUGCUGUUACUGACAGAAGAAACUGAUAAAUAUAUUUAUUUUAUUAAAAGCUUUGUAAUCCAGCAAAGAUACUGAUUGUCAAUUUUUUUUUUCCAUCUGAAGUCACUUCAGCAUUUUCCCAAACUUGAAAAGGCUUCCUCAAAGAGACGCAGGAACAACUCAACUCAGUCACAUUUGUUUAUUCAUCCUUUCUUUUUAGAUGGAUUUCAACAGCAGUGCAACAUUCGUAGGACAUAAGUAGGUUGAUAACCUAC